GCUUAACGCGAAGAACCUUACCAAGGCUUAAAUGGGAAGCGACAGGUCUGGAAACAGGCCCUUCUUCGGACGCUUUUCAAGGUGCUGCAUGGUUGUCGUCAGCUCGUGCCGUGAGGUGUCAGGUUAAGUCCUAUAACGAGCGCAACCCCUGUUGUUAGUUGCCAGCGAGUCAUGUCGGGAACUCUAGCAAGACUGCCGGUGCAAACCGUGAGGAAGGUGGGGAUGACGUCAAAUCAUCACGGCCCUUACGCCUUGGGCUACACACGUGCUACAAUGGACGGUACAGAGAGCAGCCACUGGGUGACCAGGAGCGAAUCUACAAAACCGUUCUCAGUUCGGAUCGGAGUCUGCAACUCGACUCCGUGAAGCUGGAAUCACUAGUAAUCGCAUAUCAGCCAUGAUGCGGUGAAUACGUUCCCCGGGUCUUGUACACACCG
rnacentral:rRNA from 1 species